CCAAUGCAGGGGACACGGGUUCGAGCCGUGGUCCGGGAAGAUCCCACAUGCUGCAGAGCAACUAAACCCGUGCACCACAACUACUGAGCCUGCGUGCCACAACUACUGAGCUUGCACUCUAGAGCCCGCGAGCCACAACUACUGAAGCCCGCGCGCCUAGAGCCAGUGCUCCACAACAAGAGAAGCCACCGCAAUGAGAAUCCCGCGCACCACAACGAAGAGUAGCCCCUGCUCACCACAGCUAGAGAAAGCCUGUGUGCAGCAACGAAGACCCGAUGCAGCCAAAAAAAAAAGGCAGCUGGUUGAAAAGACCUCUCAGGCUUCCCUUGUGGCUCAGUGGUAAAGAAUACGCCUGCCAGUGCAGGGGCCGUGGGUUCGAGCCCUGGUCCGGGAAGAUCCCACAUGCUGCGGAGCAACUAAGCCCGUGAGCCACAGCUACUGAGCCUGCGCUCUAUAGCCCAUGAGCCACAACUACUGAGCCCACACGCCACAACUACUGAAGUCCAUGUGCCUAGAGCCCGUGCCCCACAAGAGAAGUCACCGCAGUGAGAAGCCCACACACUGCAACGAAGAGUAGACCCCACUCGCUGCAACUAGAGAAAGCCCACGCACAGCAACAAAGACCCAAGGAACGUGACUCCGGUUCCUGGACGGAGAAACAGGCCCAGAGACAUCAAGCAACAUACACCAGGUCACACAGCAGGAAGGAGGUGGAGCCGGACUGUGAACCCAACACCAUGCUGCUUCUCCUAACACCAUGCAAAGGCCUCACCCAGCCUUCAUGUGGACUCUGGGAGGCAGGCACUUACUACCAUCCCCAUUUUACAGAUGAAAACACUGAGCCCAGAAAAGUGAAUGCAUUUGCCCUGGUCACGCAGUGAAGGUGUGUCUGGCCCUGUAGUCCAGUGGCCAACGGAUCUCAGAGACAAAAGAAAUAAUGAUAAACAGGUCUGAUCUGUGAGCACUUGUGUUGCCAGACUCCACAUUAAGAAUUUCCCUUGAGGACUUCCCUGGUGGCGCAGUGGUUAAGAAUCCACCUGCCAAUGCAGGGGACACGGGUUCGAUCCCUGGUCUGGGAAGAUCCCACAUGCUGCGGAGCAACGAAACCCGUGUGCCACAACU